UACGGGGGGGGGCAAGCGUUGUUCGGAAUUACUGGGCGUAAAGGGCUCGUAGGCGGCCAACUAAGUCAGACGUGAAAUCCCUCAGCUUAACUGGGGAACUGCGUCUGAUACUGGAUGGCUUGGAUUCGGGAGAGGAAUGCGGAAUUCCUGGUGUAGCGGUGGAAUGCGCAGAUAUCAGGAGGAACACCGAUAGCGAAGGCAGCUCGCUGGGACGGUACUGGACGCUGAGGCGCGAAAGCGUGGGGAGCGAACAGG
rnacentral:rRNA from 1 species